rnacentral:misc_RNA from 1 species
GAUGAAGAACCAGCGAAAUGCGAUAAGUAGUGUGAAUUGCAGAAUUCAGUGAAUCAUCGAAUCUUUGAACGCACAUUGCGCCCUUUGGUAUUCCAAAGGGCAUGCCUGUUCGAGCGUCAUUUGUACCCUCAAGCUUUGCUUGGUGUUGGGCGUCUUGUCUCUAGCUUUGCUGGAGACUCGCCUUAAAGUAAUUGGCAGCCGGCCUACUGGUUUCGGAGCGCAGCACAAGUCGCACUCUCUAUCAGCAAAGGUCUAGCAUCCAUUAAGCCUUUUUUUCAACUUUUGACCUCGGAUCAGGUAGGGAUACCCGCUGAACUUAAGCAUAUCAAUAAGCGGAGGA